GUGGGGAAUCUUCCGCAAUGGACGAAAGUCUGACGGAGCAACGCCGCGUGAGUGAUGAAGGUCUUCGGAUUGUAAAGCUCUGUUAAUCAGGACGAAAGAGCCUAGUGUGAAUAAUGCUAGGAAGUGACGGUACCGGAAUAGAAAGCCACGGCUAACUACGUGCCAGCAGCCGCGGUAAUACGUAGGUGGCAAGCGUUGUCCGGAAUUAUUGGGCGUAAAGCGCGCGCAGGCGGAUCUGCCAGUCUGUCUUAAAAGUUCGGGGCUUAACCCCGUGAUGGGAUGGAAACUACAGAUCUAGAGUAUCGGAGAGGAAAGUGGAAUUCCUAGUGUAGCGGUGAAAUGCGUAGAUAUUAGGAAGAACACCAGUGGCGAAGGCGACUUUCUGGACGAAAACUGACGCUGAGGCGCGAAAGCCAGGGGAGCGAACGGGAUUAGAAACCCCAGUAGUCC
rnacentral:rRNA from 1 species